CGCGCCCAAGCUCAGUCAGGAGCCAGCCACCGCCGAGAGCAGACGUGCCUGCGGGAGCUCCAGGGUGGGAGCCCUCCUCGGCCCCAGGUAGCUGCCCUGCCUGGCCGGAGCUCCCCCGCGCCCGUUACGAGGAGGAGCCACCGGAACCUCCCCGGAGCCGGUACUGGGAGGAGCCCCCAGGCUUGCUGAGCGCCUGCUACGACGAGGAGCCCCCUCGGCCUUGCUGUUACCCGGAGGAGCCGCCCGAACAGCCCUGGCCCAACUUCCCGGAGGAGCUGCCGGACCUGCUGCCAAGCCCUCCGCCGGAGCCGAUGCAAACAGACUGGCCGGAACCGGCUACGACGGACGAGCUGUUCCGGAGCAGCAUGUUACAGAGGACCAUAGAUAGAGUUUAGAGUAAUGAGCUGAAGAUCGAAGUCUAGUUCUGCCAUUGACUCAGAUGGAGGCCUUUGGAAGCUCUGAUUUGCCAUUCAGACCCAGGGCAGAGACUGAAAUCCAUACCUGCUCUGUCUCCAAACAGGUCAUUAGAAGACACGAAGCCUCAAAAGGGAUUACAACCUAUGGUCCACAUCCUGCUAGUUGUUCUGUGCUAGAGGACCCUGAAGGCUGUUCCAUGAUUGGUGUCUAAAAAGACAAAAAACAGACAAUUGUGGGAGUGGAGGGAUGUAUAUCACACAUGCAGUGUGAUCAGGGUGACUGGCAGGGUUUAUUAAAAACUAAAGCCCUCUCACCUCAUUGACUAUUCAAAAUGGGAUUGGAUGGUGUUAUCACUCCAUUAACACAGGAUGGACUAUAGCUGUACACUGUGUGGGGAAAACAUCUCAGUGAGUUGCCCAGGGUGCACAGAAAGCAGCAGAGUGUCUUCAUUAAUGUUGAGACCACCAGACAUGAUGGGUCAGCAUUUGUGAAUCUUAAAGUUUAAAUAAGCACCUGUUCUCUGCAUCUAACUUACAUGGGGAGAAACUCUUAUAUCUGCCUACUGCAGAGUUUCAUUCACCUCCCUCAGAAGCAUCCGGUGCUGACCUCAUUCGGAGCCAGGAUAUUGGACUAGCUAGACCUGGAGUCUGAUCCUAUGUGGUACCCCAAGUCAACAGGACUACAAGAGUAAGCUCUACUCAACUUAUAAAGCUACAGCUCUGGAGCAAAUUCUGAGGCUUC